rnacentral:miRNA from 1 species
UGAGAUCAUUGUUCAAGCUCUUA